rnacentral:rRNA from 1 species
UACGUAGGGUGCGAGCGUUAAUCGGAAUUACUGGGCGUAAAGCGUGCGCAGGCGGUUCGCUAAGACCGAUGUGAAAUCCCCGGGCUUAACCUGGGAACUGCAUUGGUGACUGGCGGGCUAGAGUAUGGCAGAGGGGGGUAGAAUUCCACGUGUAGCAGUGAAAUGCGUAGAGAUGUGGAGGAAUACCGAUGGCGAAGGCAGCCCCCUGGGCCAAUACUGACGCUCAUGCACGGAAGCGUGGGGAGCAAACAGG